ACUUUCAUGAAUAUGGUUUUGGUCCCUACAAAAUAUUUUGUUUUUUAAAAAGGUCCCUGCAAAAAUUUUUGUUUUUGAAAAUAAAAUUUUGCAAGGACCAAAAACAAAUUUUUUUUUACAAGGACUAAAACCAAAACGAGGCAUAUUUGCAGGGAUUAAAACCAUAUUUUAGC
rnacentral:pre_miRNA from 1 species